rnacentral:rRNA from 1 species
GGAGGGUGCAAGCGUUGUCCGGAUUUAUUGGGUUUAAAGGGUGCGUAGGUGGCGUGUUAAGUCAGUGGUGAAAGCCUGCAGCUCAACUGUAGAGGUGCCAUUGAUACUGACAUGCUUGAGUAUGGACGAGGUAGGCGGAAUUUGUGGUGUAGCGGUGAAAUGCAUAGAUACCACAAGGAACACCGAUAGCGAAGGCAGCUUACUGGACCAUAACUGACACUGAGGCACGAAAGCGUGGGGAGCGAACAGGAUUAGAUACCCUGGUAGUCCCACGCCGUAAACGAUGCUCACUCGAUGUAUGCGAUAUACUGUAUGCGUCCAAGCGAAAGCGUUAAAGUGAGCCACCUGGGGAGUACGCUCGCAAGAGUG